GGAAUUGUAGGAAACUCAGUUUGGGAACAUAAUGGGGUUUAAGACAGAUUGGGAGCCCUCAGUCCAUGUCUCUACCUUCAACAUGAAGACUACUAUUGAAGUGGAAUUAUGUGUGGUUUCCGAUCAAUACAAAGGGUAAGGAUGACACUUCUACAACUAAGAAGUGUCAAUACUGAUAGCAGGGAGCUAUAUAGUUGUGGGAUGAACUGGAGAAUAGAAGGAAACAUUUGUGAGACCCAUUAGAAGCCUACUGAACAAGUUAAGAGGGACUUGGGUCGGGGGGCACGCUGCAGGGUUGAGGCCAGCGGACCGCCAGGAGGCAGAGCGCGAUGCCCUACGCCAACCAGCCCACAGUGUGGAUCACGGAGCUCACCAACGAGAAUGUCAAGUUCAUCAUCGAGAAUACGGACCUAACGGUGGCCAAUUCUAUUCGGAGGGUCUUCAUCGCCGAGGUGCCCAUAACAGCCAUUGACUGGGUUCAGAUUGAGCCAAUUCCUGUCCUUCACGACGAGUUCAUCGCUCACAGGCUUGGAUUAAUCCCCCUCACUAGCGAUGACAUUGUGGACAGGCGGCAGUACUCCCGGGACUGCACGUGUGAGGAGUUCUGCCCCGAGAGCUCGUUGGAGUUCACUCUCGACUUGCGGUGCAACGAGACCAGGCUCCGCACGUCACCUCUGGAGACCUCAUCUCCAGCAGCCCCCGGGUCAUUCCAGUGACAUCUGGAAUCGAGAUAAUGACCCCAAUGACUACGUGGACCAGGACGACAUCCUCGUCGUCAAGCUGCGAAAGGGCCAGGAGCUGAGACUCUGCGCCUGUGCCAAGAAGGGCUUUGGCAAGGAACAUGCUAAGUGGAACCCGACUGCAGGGGUGGCUUUUGAAUAUGAUCCCGACAAUGCCCUGAGGCACACAGUGUACCCCAAGCCAGAGGAGGGGCCAAAGAGCGAGUACUCAGAGCUGGAUGAAGAUGAUUCCCUGACUCCAUACGACCUCAAUGGCAAGCCGGAGAGGUUUUAAUACAACGUGGAGGCCUGUGGCCCUCUGCGCCCUGAAACCAUUGUCCUCUCAGCCCACUUUGGGUUGAAGAAGAAGCUGAGUGAUUUAUAGACCCAGUUGAG